UGCUGGGCCCUUGGCGCCUGGAUAUAAACCCGUCCGCCACCUUUUCCAGCCCUAUGCUUCGAGGAUUUGCGCCACGCUGGGAGUUGCCUCUGUUGAAACUGUUGAUAGGAGAGAGGGAAAGGGAAAGGGAGAGGCCAGAGGAUUGGAUCAGCCGUCGAAGUGCGAGGUGUGCGCGGGAAGCCAAGGGCGGAGUCAAGCAGGGGUGCUCCGCGGCGUUUCCCGUACGGCGGUGGUUGUAUGGGGCGUCACUGUGUCGGAGAGCCGAUGCACCGCCAUUGGCGAACCAGGGCGCUCCGUUGCACUGACCUCCCGUGGGCGGCUCUGCCCACGCUACUAUCACCGGUAAGGUCGCGACCUAGUAGUUCGCCAUCAUUCCUGUGCUGCGCAAGUUCCAUUCAUGCUCCAAACCGUGGCCUAGGGCCGCUAGCUCGCAGCUCGAAGGGUCUCCGUUGCAUGCGGCCGUAGCGCUUGGAUCAGGGAGAAAGAAGAAGCCUAUGCCGUUGAUCUCUGGAUGAACGACCAGGGUUAGAUGGAGUUGUGAGAAGUUUUGAACCGUGGGAUAGAAGUUGGACGGGUGAGAUCAUCGGUGGCGUACCCUUUCGAUCCGAGGUAUGUGAUCCCUGGAUCUCAGAUCCAGCGGUCAGCAUCGCAUAUCGGUUUAUAAUGUAUGCGUCUAAUCUGGACGGUUGGAACAAGAUUCAACGGCUCAAAUGGUCUGUACCCCUUCGGCCGUG
rnacentral:lncRNA from 7 species